GACAGAGGGUGCUAGCGUUGUUCGGAAUUACUGGGCGUAAAGGGCGCGUAGGCGGCUCGUUUAGUCGGGUGUGAAAUCCCGGGGCUCAACCCCGGAACUGCAUUCGAUACUGCCGAGCUGGAGUCCCGGAGAGGUUGGUGGAACUCUCGGUGUAGAGGUGAAAUUCGUAGAUAUCGAGAAGAACACCGGUGGCGAAGGCGGCCAACUGGACGGUGACUGACGCUGAGACGCGAAAGCGUGGGGAGCAAACAGG
rnacentral:rRNA from 1 species